rnacentral:rRNA from 1 species
GACGAACGCUGGCGGCGUGCCUAAUACAUGCAAGUAGGACGCAGUUGCGAACGGGUGAGUAACGCGUAGGGAACUACCUAUUAGAGGGGGAUAACUAUUUGAAACGCUAACUCAUACCGCAUACUAGUAGAUGGACCUGCGUUGUAUUAGGUAGUUGGUAGGGUAAUGGCCUACCUAGGCAACGAUACAUAGCCGACCUGAGAGGGUGAACGGGAAACCCGGGACUGAGACACGGCCCAGACUCCUACGGGAAGCAGGAGGAGGGAAUCUUCGGCAAUGGGGGGAACCCUGACCGAGCAACGCCGCGGGAGUGAAGAAGGUUUUCGGAUCGUAAAGCUCUGUUGUUAAGGAAGCGGUACUUAACCAGAAAGGGACGGCUAACUACGUGCCAGCCGCCGCGGUAAUUC